rnacentral:rRNA from 1 species
AGAGUUUGAUCCUGGCUCAGGAUGAACGCUGGCGGCGUGCUUAACACAUGCAAGUCGAACGAAGCACUUUGGACAGAUUCUUCGGAUGAAGUCCAUGGUGACUGAGUGGCGGACGGGUGAGUAACGCGUGGGUAACCUGCCUCAUACAGGGGGAUAACAGUUAGAAAUGGCUGCUAAUACCGCAUAAGCGCACGGUACCGCAUGGUACAGUGUGAAAAACUCCGGUGGUAUGAGAUGGACCCGCGUCUGAUUAGCCAGUUGGCAGGGUAACGGCCUACCAAAGCGACGAUCAGUAGCCGACCUGAGAGGGUGACCGGCCACAUUGGGACUGAGACACGGCCCAAACUCCUACGGGAGGCAGCAGUGGGGAAUAUUGCACAAUGGGGGAAACCCUGAUGCGGCGACGCCGCGUGAGCGAAGAAGUAUUUCGGUAUGUAAAGCUCUAUCAGCAGGGAAGAAGAAUGACGGUACCUGACUAAGAAGCACCGGCUAAAUACGUGCCAGCAGCCGCGGUAAUACGUAUGGUGCAAGCGUUAUCCGGAUUUACUGGGUGUAAAGGGAGCGCAGGCGGUGCGGCAAGUCUGAUGUGAAAGCCCGGGGCUCAACCCCGGUACUGCAUUGGAAACUGUCGUACUAGAGUGUCGGAGGGGUAAGUGGAAUUCCUAGUGUAGCGGUGAAAUGCGUAGAUAUUAGGAGGAACACCAGUGGCGAAGGCGGCUUACUGGACGAUAACUGACGCUGAGGCUCGAAAGCGUGGGGAGCAAACAGGAUUAGAUACCCUGGUAGUCCACGCCGUAAACGAUGAA